rnacentral:rRNA from 1 species
GGGUUGUGAGGUUAAGCGACUAAGCGUACACGGUGGAUGCCCUGGCAGUCAGAGGCGAUGAAGGACGUGCUAAUCUGCGAUAAGCGUCGGUAAGGUGAUAUGAACCGUUAUAACCGGCGAUUUCCGAAUGGGGAAACCCAGUGUGAUUCGUCACACUAUCAUUAACUGAAUCCAUAGGUUAAUGAGGCGAACCGGGGGAACUGAAACAUCUAAGUACCCCGAGGAAAAGAAAUCAACCGAGAUUCCCCCAGUAGCGGCGAGCGAACGGGGAGCAGCCCAGAGCCUGAAUCAGUGUGUGUGUUAGUGGAAGCGUCUGGAAAGGCGCGCGAUACAGGGUGACAGCCCCGUACACAAAAAUGCACAUACUGUGAGCUCGAUGAGUAGGGCGGGACACGUGGUAUCCUGUCUGAAUAUGGGGGGACCAUCCUCCAAGGCUAAAUACUCCUGACUGACCGAUAGUGAACCAGUACCGUGAGGGAAAGGCGAAAAGAACCCCGGCGAGGGGAGUGAAAAAGAACCUGAAACCGUGUACGUACAAGCAGUGGGAGCACAGAGCAAUCUGUGUGACUGCGUACCUUUUGUAUAAUGGGUCAGCGACUUAUAUUCUGUAGCAAGGUUAACCGAAUAGGGGAGCCGAAGGGAAACCGAGUCUUAACUGGGCGUUAAGUUGCAGGGUAUAGACCCGAAACCCGGUGAUCUAGCCAUGGGCAGGUUGAAGGUUGGGUAACACUAACUGGAGGACCGAACCGACUAAUGUUGAAAAAUUAGCGGAUGACUUGUGGCUGGGGGUGAAAGGCCAAUCAAACCGGGAGAUAGCUGGUUCUCCCCGAAAGCUAUUUAGGUAGCGCCUCGUGAAUUCAUCUCCGGGGGUAGAGCACUGUUUCGGCAAGGGGGUCAUCCCGACUUACCAACCCGAUGCAAACUGCGAAUACCGGAGAAUGUUAUCACGGGAGACACACGGCGGGUGCUAACGUCCGUCGUGAAGAGGGAAACAACCCAGACCGCCAGCUAAGGUCCCAAAGUCAUGGUUAAGUGGGAAACGAUGUGGGAAGGCCCAGACAGCCAGGAUGUUGGCUUAGAAGCAGCCAUCAUUUAAAGAAAGCGUAAUAGCUCACUGGUCGAGUCGGCCUGCGCGGAAGAUGUAACGGGGCUAAACCAUGCACCGAAGCUGCGGCAGCGACGCUUAUGCGUUGUUGGGUAGGGGAGCGUUCUGUAAGCCUGUGAAGGUGUACUGUGAGGUAUGCUGGAGGUAUCAGAAGUGCGAAUGCUGACAUAAGUAACGAUAAAGCGGGUGAAAAGCCCGCUCGCCGGAAGACCAAGGGUUCCUGUCCAACGUUAAUCGGGGCAGGGUGAGUCGACCCCUAAGGCGAGGCCGAAAGGCGUAGUCGAUGGGAAACAGGUUAAUAUUCCUGUACUUGGUGUUACUGCGAAGGGGGGACGGAGAAGGCUAUGUUGGCCGGGCGACGGUUGUCCCGGUUUAAGCGUGUAGGCUGGUUUUCCAGGCAAAUCCGGAAAAUCAAGGCUGAGGCGUGAUGACGAGGCACUACGGUGCUGAAGCAACAAAUGCCCUGCUUCCAGGAAAAGCCUCUAAGCAUCAGGUAACAUCAAAUCGUACCCCAAACCGACACAGGUGGUCAGGUAGAGAAUACCAAGGCGCUUGAGAGAACUCGGGUGAAGGAACUAGGCAAAAUGGUGCCGUAACUUCGGGAGAAGGCACGCUGAUAUGUAGGUGAAGCGACUUGCUCGUGGAGCUGAAAUCAGUCGAAGAUACCAGCUGGCUGCAACUGUUUAUUAAAAACACAGCACUGUGCAAACACGAAAGUGGACGUAUACGGUGUGACGCCUGCCCGGUGCCGGAAGGUUAAUUGAUGGGGUCAGCGCAAGCGAAGCUCUUGAUCGAAGCCCCGGUAAACGGCGGCCGUAACUAUAACGGUCCUAAGGUAGCGAAAUUCCUUGUCGGGUAAGUUCCGACCUGCACGAAUGGCGUAAUGAUGGCCAGGCUGUCUCCACCCGAGACUCAGUGAAAUUGAACUCGCUGUGAAGAUGCAGUGUACCCGCGGCAAGACGGAAAGACCCCGUGAACCUUUACUAUAGCUUGACACUGAACAUUGAGCCUUGAUGUGUAGGAUAGGUGGGAGGCUUUGAAGUGUGGACGCCAGUCUGCAUGGAGCCGACCUUGAAAUACCACCCUUUAAUGUUUGAUGUUCUAACGUGGACCCGUAAUCCGGGUUGCGGACAGUGUCUGGUGGGUAGUUUGACUGGGGCGGUCUCCUCCUAAAGAGUAACGGAGGAGCACGAAGGUUGGCUAAUCCUGGUCGGACAUCAGGAGGUUAGUGCAAUGGCAUAAGCCAGCUUGACUGCGAGCGUGACGGCGCGAGCAGGUGCGAAAGCAGGUCAUAGUGAUCCGGUGGUUCUGAAUGGAAGGGCCAUCGCUCAACGGAUAAAAGGUACUCCGGGGAUAACAGGCUGAUACCGCCCAAGAGUUCAUAUCGACGGCGGUGUUUGGCACCUCGAUGUCGGCUCAUCACAUCCUGGGGCUGAAGUAGGUCCCAAGGGUAUGGCUGUUCGCCAUUUAAAGUGGUACGCGAGCUGGGUUUAGAACGUCGUGAGACAGUUCGGUCCCUAUCUGCCGUGGGCGCUGGAGAACUGAGGGGGGCUGCUCCUAGUACGAGAGGACCGGAGUGGACGCAUCACUGGUGUUCGGGUUGUCAUGCCAAUGGCACUGCCCGGUAGCUAAAUGCGGAAGAGAUAAGUGCUGAAAGCAUCUAAGCACGAAACUUGCCCCGAGAUGAGUUCUCCCUGACUCCUUGAGAGUCCUGAAGGAACGUUGAAGACGACGACGUUGAUAGGCCGGGUGUGUAAGCGCAGCGAUGCGUUGAGCUAACCGGUACUAAUGAACCGUGAGGCUUAACCUUACAACGCCGAAGCUGUU